CUGAUGCAAACCCUGAGGCCAGAGCUGGACAACUCGCCCCUAAGUUUGGCGCGUCCUAGCUCUGCGCCCUCGGCCCCCACUCCCCCACUUUCGCGGCACCCAGGAUCCCAGUGCAUGGGAAGUCAUUCUUGUCCUCAAGUUCUUGCUGCCAGAGCUGUGCGGCUCCGCGGGACGGAGGACCUCGGGGCCCAACUGGGGGUGCGGGAAGCGCGCCCCGCUGGGUGCGCUGGCGACUAGCCUGAGCCAGAGCCCGGGAGGGGAAGCGGCCUGGAGGGACUGGGCCAGCGGCAGGGAAGCAGUGACCCGGACCUGGAUCGCAGAAGUAGGAACUGGAAGUGACAGCGGCAUAGGGCAGAGCAGCAGCAGCAGCAGCACCAGCAGCAGCAGCAGCAGCACCAGCAACAACAGCAGCCUGGCUAGCUGUGGCAGCAGCAAAAGCCAUGGUAGAACAGCAGCAGCUACACUGCGCAUGCUGCUACCACCCGGUUCAGUCCCAAGCCCUGGGCUACCAGUGCCUGGCUGGCCUUGGGCCACUGCCAAAGAUUCGGGCGGGAAUCCUGGACUAGACGUUCCUAGUAGUGGCCCACUUUCUCCCCCACCCCCAGAUGCUACUCAGAACCCCCAAGCUUCCUGUUGAGCCAUGAGACACCCAAGCACAAAGCUCUCAGUGGCCCUUCACAUACCUCCCCUCCCUGAACUACUCUAGAUGCCCUUCCUAAGCUCUCUGACAACAGACCCCAAAUCAAAUAGUCUCUUUGAGGAAGAAUAAAACAGUUUCCUGAUAGAUGGGAAAUAUUUACAACCUUACUUGAAGUCUAAUUUUUACAGAAAUACAAUGUGGUCAAUAAAAAUUUAGGAUGGCCAGAGUCAUGGGUGACAUUCAAUUAAGUUGUGGAAAUUCCAUUUGGUGUGUCAUAUGUGCUCAGCAGGAGAAGAAAAACUUACCAAAAUCUUCUUUAGUCUUCUCACUAGUCAAAUUGAGCAGCUAAUUAUGCAAAGCUUGCCCACUGGAGAAUGAUGGCAAUGGAAAAAUUAAGAGGAGUCUCAGACCAUUAGACAUUACCCAAGCCCUACACUAGUCUCAUUUUACAGGUGAGUCAACUGAGGCCUAGAGAGGAGGCUCCGACUUCACACAGAUGACAGGGUCAGGGCUUGGAAGAAGGCCUGUUGUACCAUUACAGCUAUGGGUUGGUUCUGGGCCUUGGGUCUAUGCUCCAG